rnacentral:rRNA from 1 species
AGUGAACGCUGGCGGUAGGCCUAACACAUGCAAGUCGAACGGCAGCACAGUAAGAGCUUGCUCUUACGGGUGGCGAGUGGCGGACGGGUGAGGAAUACAUCGGAAUCUACUUUUUCGUGGGGGAUAACGUAGGGAAACUUACGCUAAUACCGCAUACGACCUACGGGUGAAAGCAGGGGAUCUUCGGACCUUGCGCGAUUGAAUGAGCCGAUGCCGGAUUAGCUAGUUGGCGGGGUAAAGGCCCACCAAGGCGACGAUCCGUAGCUGGUCUGAGAGGAUGAUCAGCCACACUGGAACUGAGACACGGUCCAGACUCCUACGGGAGGCAGCAGUGGGGAAUAUUGGACAAUGGGCGCAAGCCUGAUCCAGCCAUACCGCGUGAGUGAAGAAGGCCUUCGGGUUGUAAAGCCCUUUUGUUGGGAAAGAAAAGCAGCAGGUUAAUACCCCGCUGUUCCGACGGUACCCAAAGAAUAAGCACCGGCUAACUUCGUG